CGGGAAUUCUCUCGGCGUGUUUCGAUACAAGUUAAAAACACGUUGGCAUGGAUUUGAUAACCGGGCAGAGAGAACCGAUCGAGGUUCUGCCGAUUUCUCUCGGCAGAAAACAACCAGAAGCGGGGUAGUCACCAGAAGCGAGAGGAGUCUGCCCGCACAGCACGUACUCCAGCAUUGCCUUCCAGUUCACAGCCUCGUCCCGCACCUCGCCUCCUGCAUGCGCCUCCAACCAGACCCACCAGCUCCGGUUCCUCGUCGCCAUCGUCGCCGUCGCCAUCCAUUCCAUCAUCACCGUGAUAAAACCCGAUUUCAAACUCAAAAUCUCCUACCACUAUAUUCGUGCCCAAAUUGUGCUGUUCUUCCGUCGUCACCUAGCUCUGGAUCGAUAUAUAUAUAUACUCCCCGUCCAGCCGCAUCUCCUCCCCAGCCCCCAUUCCCCAUUCCCCGGAGCUUCACGUGCGCGCGCGCCAUUGACUCCUCCCGUUCUCGCUUCCUCGUGUCCAGCCCCACGUACGCCUUCCGCUCCGCCGCUACCCGGGAUCCCCAGCCGGUGACAGGUUCAUGAUCGUCGCACCUUAAUUGUGCUCAUCCUCUAUGGGGUCCGAGACAACUGAAAGAAAUGACACCUUGCUGGGCAAUGGAGUCAUCGGCAUUCUCGCCGAGACUGUCAACAUGUGGGAGAGGAGGGCGCCGUUAACUCCUUCCCAUUGUGCUCGCCUCGUGCUCGGAGGAGGCAAGCGCGAAUCCGGCGUGAACCGGAUCAUCGUGCAGCCAAGCACCAAGAGGAUCCACCAUGACGCUCAGUACGAGGAUGCUGGGUGCGAGAUCUCAGAGGACCUGUCAGAGUGUGGCCUCAUCGUAGGCAUCAAGCAACCAAAGCUGGAGAUGAUUCUUCCUGAUAGAGCAUAUGCGUUCUUCUCGCACACCCACAAGGCCCAGAAAGAAAAUAUGCCGCUGUUAGAUAAGAUCAUGGAAGAAAGAGUGUCCUUGUUUGAUUAUGAGCUAAUUGUCGAUGACGAUGGGAAAAGAAUGCUGGCAUUUGGGAAAUUUGCUGGCAGAGCUGGACUGAUAGACUUCUUACACGGUCUUGGGCAGAGAUAUUUGAGCCUUGGAUACUCGACUCCGUUUCUGUCUCUGGGGCAAUCCCACAUGUAUCCUUCGCUCGCUGCAGCCAAGGCUGCAGUCAUCGCCAUUGGUGAAGAGAUAGCAACAUAUGGACUUCCAUCUGGAAUUUGUCCAAUUGUAUUUGCAUUCACCGGAUCCGGAAAUGUUUCGCAGGGCGCACAAGAGAUAUUCAAGCUAUUGCCACAUACCUUCGUCGAUGCUGAGAAACUUCCCGAGCUCUCUGCGGGAAAGAGUCUGCCUCCACAUCAUCAGUCAACCAGGAGAGCAUUCCAACUAUAUGGAUGUGUUGUCACAUCUAAAGACAUGGUCGCACCCAAGGAUCCCAGCAGAUGUUUCGACAAAGCUGACUAUUAUGCUCAUCCGGAACACUACCGCCCUGUUUUUCAUGAAAGGAUCGCUCCAUAUGCAUCUGCCAUUGUUAACUGUAUGUACUGGGAGAGGAGGUUUCCACGACUAUUGAGCAUUGAUCAGUUACAACAGCUGAUGAAGAAUGGGUGCCCUUUGGUUGGCAUUUCCGAUAUAACUUGUGACAUUGGAGGUUCCAUAGAAUUUGUGAACAAAAGUACAUCAAUAGAGAGGCCUUUCUUCCGGUAUGAUACUUCGACUAAUUUAUACCAUGAUGACAUGGAAGGCGAUGGCGUGAUCUGCUUAGCUGUUGACAUUCUGCCUACAGAGUUUUCCAGAGAGGCCUCCCAGCAUUUUGGAGACAUAUUAUCUAGAUUUGUUACCAGCUUGGCCUCAGCUAAGGGACUGCUGGAACUUCCUUCCCACUUGAGAAGAGCUUGCAUCGCAUAUACUGGCAAACUCACUCCUCUGUAUGAGUAUAUUCCUCGGAUGAGAAAGACUAUGAUAGAAUUGCCACCAACUCCAGCCAAUUCAUUGCCUGAUAAGAAGUACACCACCCUGGUAUCUCUCUGUGGCCACCUCUUUGAUAAGUUCCUUAUAAAUGAAGCUUUGGACAUCAUUGAGACAGCUGGGGGUUCUUUUCACUUGGUUAAAUGUGAUGUUGGACAAAGCAUCGACGAUAUGUCCUACUCGGAGCUUGAAGUAGGAGCAGAUGAUACGACUACAUUAGACAAGAUCAUCGAUUCGUUGACUUCUAUAGCUAAUGCGCACCGUGGAGAUCCUAAUGCCGCUGAGAUAUCUCUAAAGAUAGGAAGAGUCAGCGAAUGCGGAAUUGAUGACAGCAUGGAUAAAGUAGGACCGAAGGUUUUAAUCCUUGGAGCUGGGAGAGUUUGUCGGCCAGCUGCUGAGUUUCUAACAUCUUACCAAAACAUCGACCAAGUACAUGUUGUUGUGGCAUCUCUGUAUCAAAAAGAUGCAGAAGAGACAGUUGACGGAAUAAAGAAUGCAACAGCAGCUCAGCUCGAUGUUUCAGAUACUGAAAGUCUUUCGAAUCUUGUUUCACAGGUUGAUGUUGUAGUCAGCUUGCUGCCUGCUAGUUUUCAUGCUGCCAUUGCAAGAGUAUGCAUAGAGCUCAAGAAGCACUUGGUCACAGCAAGCUAUGUUGAUGAUUCCAUGUCAAAGUUGGAGCAAGCUGCACAAGGAGCAGGUGUAACUAUACUCUGCGAAAUGGGCCUUGAUCCAGGCAUAGAUCACAUGUUGUCAAUGAAAAUGAUUGAUGAAGCACAUGCUCUGAAUGGAAAAAUAAAGGCCUUUACAUCUUUCUGUGGUGGACUUCCAUCUCCAGCUGCCGCAAACAAUCCACUAGCCUACAAGUUCAGUUGGAGUCCAGCAGGUGCCAUCCGAGCUGGAAGAAAUCCUGCUGUCUACAAAUUUCUUGGAGAGAUAAUCGAUGUGGAUGGUAGUAAAUUAUACGAGUCGGCAAAGAGGCUCAGACUACCAGAGCUUCCCGCUUUUGCCCUGGAACACUUGCCAAAUCGAAAUUCCUUGAUGUAUGGAGACCUGUAUGGGAUCUCCAAAGAAGCAUCUACUGUAUAUAGGUCCACUCUUCGUUAUGAAGGAUUUAGUGAGAUCAUGGCUAUCCUGGCGAAAAUCGGGUUUUUUGAUGCUGAAAAUCAUCCACUGCUACAAGAAACUGAUCGCCCGACAUAUAGGAUUUUUCUCAAUGACCUCCUUGAUGUCAACAAUGUAUCCACAUCUAACACAAAGGUAAAUGGUGAAGAAACUGGAGGACAUGAUGAUGAACUGAUUUCAAGACUCAUGAUGCUUGGGCAUUGCAAAGAAAAGGAACUAGCUGUCAAGAUACUCAAAACCAUCAAGUUCUUGGGGCUGCAUGAGGAGACACAGAUUCCUAAGGAUUGUUCAAGUGCAUUCACUGUUAUUUGCCAACGAAUGGAACAGAGAAUGGCCUAUGGCCACAAUGAGCAGGAUAUGGUACUGCUCCACCAUGAAGUCGAGGUGGAGUACCCCGACGGGCGACCCACCGAGAAGCACCAAGCGACGCUGCUGGAGUUCGGAAAGACCGAGAACGGCAGGCCCACCACCGCCAUGGCCCUCACCGUUGGGGUACCGGCAGCGAUAGGAGCCCUGCUCUUGCUCCAGAACAAGGUCCAGAGGAAAGGGGUGAUCCGGCCUCUGGAACCGGAGAUCUACAUCCCUGCGCUGGAGAUCUUGGAAGCGUCGGGCAUCAAGCUGAUCGAGAGAGUGGAGACCUGAGGAUGUCAGGAUGGGAUGAGAAUCUAUCGAGUAUAUAUGCUGCAGCAACAGAGGCAGUGAGUAAAUAAAAUGAUGAUUCUCGCCGUUGUAAGUAAAAUGAGUGGACUGUAUGUAUGUAUGUGACUAUCUAUUGUACUACAUAUAUACCAAAUCUGUCGCCGGUUGAUUCUGUUGGUGAACUUCCUAGUCUUCAUUGUACUACAUUGCCAACGAGAGACCCCGACUAGGUCUUCUUCUCCGGCGGCGGCGAACGCGAGCACGCCGUCCUCGCGGCGCCGGGCGAUGGCAUACUCGUCGGCGUCGACCGGCCGGAGGAACCUCCGUCCAAGAAAUGGGGA
rnacentral:rRNA from 1 species